rnacentral:rRNA from 1 species
GAAGUAAAAGUCGUAACAAGGUUUCCGUAGGUCAGCAGCAGUUUUGCCUAUUAAAGCGGCCCAGCCGCUAGUCUCUCCGGAGGCGACACGCUCAAUAUGCGGGAAGGCCCUCUAUUCAGAGGGACAUCCGCAACCAGCCGCCUUACCCGGCGGUCGGUUCAGAGGCUUGAUGAGUGUGGGUCUGGUGUAGCCAGGCUUAAGAUAAAGUCCGUACCUGCCGGAGACUCCAGGUGUUAAACGGAACCUGCGGAAGGAUCAUUA